GACAGAACUACACAUAAGGCAAGAGUUAUGAGAUAGAGAGAAAUGAUGAACUGUGAGGUAGAGACAGAACACACAGAGAUAAGAGAGACAGAACUACACAUAAGGCAAGAGUUAUGAGAUACAGAGAAAUGAUGAACUGUGAGGUAAAGACAGAACACACAGAGAUAAGAGAGACAGAACUACACAUAAGGCAAGAGUUAUGAGAUACAGAGAAAUGAUGAACUGUGAGGUAAAGACAGAACACACAGAGACAAGAGAGACAGAACUACACAUAAGGCAAGAGUUAUGAGAUACAGAGAAAUGAUGAACUGUGAGGUAGAGACAGAACACACAGAGACAAGAGAGACAGAACUACACAUAAGGCAAGAGUUAUGAGAUACAGAGAAAUGAUGAACUGUGAGGUAAAGACAGAACACACAGAGACAAGAGAGACAGAACUACACAUAAGGCAAGAGUUAUGAGAUACAGAGAAAUGAUGAACUGUGAGGUAAAGACAGAACACACAGAGACAAGAGAGACAGAACUACACAUAAGGCAAGAGUUAUGAGAUACAGAGAAAUGAUGAACUGUGAGGUAAAGACAGAACACACAGAGACAAGAGAGACAGAACUACACAUAAGGCAAGAGUUAUGAGAUACAGAGAAAUGAUGAACUGUGAGGUAAAGACAGAACACACAGAGAGAGACAGAACUACACAUAAGACAAGAGUUAUGAGAUACAGAGAAAUGAUGAACUGUGAG